CCUACGGGUGGCAGCAGUGAGGAAUAUUGGUCAAUGGCCAGAAGGCUGAACCAGCCAAGCCGCGUGAAGGACGAAGGUGCCAAGCAUUGUAAACUUCUUUUGUCAAGGGACAAAAUCAGGCUCGAGAGCCUGACCGAGUGUACUUUAAGAAACAGCAUCGGCUAACUCCGUGCCCGCAGCCGCGGUAAUACGGAGGAUGCGAGCGUUAUCCGGAUUUAUUGGGUUUAAAGGGUGCGUAGGCGGCCUGUUAAGUCAGAGGUGAAAGUUUGUGGCUCAACCAUAGAAUUGCCGUUGAAACUGGGAGGCUUGAGUAGGGUUGAGGUAGGCGGAAUGCGUGGUGUAGCGGUGAAAUGCUUAGAUAUCACGCAGAACCCCGAUUGCGAAGGCAGCCUGCUAAGCCGUGACUGACGCUGAUGCACGAAAGCGUGGGGAUCAAACAGGAUUAGAUACUCCUGUAGUC
rnacentral:rRNA from 1 species